rnacentral:lncRNA from 1 species
UUCAGUAAACUAUAUUUGAAAACUCUCUAAAAUUAUAUUUUAAGCAUAAUAUUACUAUUAUUUAAUUUAAGUUAUUUUAAGCAUAAUAUUUGCUAAACCAACUUAAAUUAUAUUUACAAUAGGACCAUCCUAAACCGGUUAAUAAACCAAAAAUAAUUCUAAACCAACAUGAACUAAUACUUGAUUCGGCGAGGAAGGAAGUGUUUUGGGAUAAACGUUUGAAUGGUUAUUAACUGUAAUGGUUUGAUCACAAAAGAGUUAGUAUGAACAUUAACAAUAAAAUUAUGGAUUAGAUUAAUUUAAAUUUGUAAAAAUACCUUUGAGUCUAUGAAAAGCAAUUCAAUCCCCAUGGAUAAGUUUGGCUUUUGGAAGUUACGGGUUUCCCAACAAUGAAUCCACCUAACAAAAAGUUCGUUGUUAUAAAAAAUCUCCUUCAAGGUUAUUAAAGGUUUUUCGGACGGCAAGAGUUGAUGGUGGAACCAUUUUUUUGCUAGAGUGCUUUGAAGUUUUCCUUGAUAGUGUGAGGUUGAUGUUGAUGGAAUAAAGAGUUUUAUAGGGACUUUCUUGAUGUAAAACUAUACAUUUUUAUUUUUUUUGUUUAAUGUGGUAUUUCCAUGUUUAUAUAAUUUACUACCAUUAUAAGAUAGAUGUACAUUUUAAGAUAGAUGUUUAAAUUUUAAUAUACAUUUUUCCAUUUUUUUUAAUGUUUAUUUCCAUUUCUUACAUUUUUU